rnacentral:rRNA from 1 species
GAUGAACGCUGGCGGCGUGCCUAAUACAUGCAAGUCGAGCGAACGGACGAGAAGCUUGCUUCUCUGAUGUUAGCGGCGGACGGGUGAGUAACACGUGGAUAACCUACCUAUAAGACUGGGAUAACUUCGGGAAACCGGAGCUAAUACCGGAUAAUAUUUUGAACCGCAUGGUUCAAAAGUGAAAGACGGUCUUGCUGUCACUUAUAGAUGGAUCCGCGCUGCAUUAGCUAGUUGGUAAGGUAACGGCUUACCAAGGCAACGAUGCAUAGCCGACCUGAGAGGGUGAUCGGCCACACUGGAACUGAGACACGGUCCAGACUCCUACGGGAGGCAGCAGUAGGGAAUCUUCCGCAAUGGGCGAAAGCCUGACGGAGCAACGCCGCGUGAGUGAUGAAGGUUUUCAGAUCGUAAAACUCUGUUAUUAGGGAAGAACAUAUGUGUAAGUAACUGUGCACAUCUUGACGGUACCUAAUCAGAAAGCCACGGCUAACUACGUG